CAACACCUGCCAGGACAACCUCUCCAGAGGCCCAAAUGAGUCAUUUCCUUUCCUCAGUUGCAACUCUCUGCCCCUGCUGGGAGUGCUGUUAACUUCGUCCUGAGGACAGAAACAAGCAAGAGCCCUCAGGAUGCUGCUGCUUCCUCUCCUGACCCUGGCUGCAGCCUGGUCUUAUGGACAAGCACAAGUGCUUCUAAAGCAGAGAGAAGUAUCCAUUACCAGAGGGCCCAAGACACGUGCAUCAAUGGACUGUAUAGCCGAGGGUAUUCCUAACUUCCGGUCUGCAUUUAUACACUGGUACCGGCAUGUACCCUCCAAAGCUCCAGAACGGAUUCUGUAUAUUGGACCCAGUGCAGCUUCUUACGAUGACAAUUCCUUUAGCAACAAGUAUUCUUCUUUGAAGAAAGGUACAAACGUCUGCACUUUCACAAUCAAUGACAUCAACUCCAAUGAUGAAGGUACCUACUACUGUGCCUUCUGGCGUAUCCACAGAGCUAGCAUGUGA